rnacentral:rRNA from 1 species
ACUCAAAUGAAUUGACGGGGCCCCGCACAAGCAGCGGAGCGUGUGGUUUAAUUCGAUGCAACGCGAAGAACCUUACCUGGACUUGACAUGCAUUCGCAAGGGUGUGAAAGCACCCCCUCUACGGACGGAUGCACAGAUGUUGCAUGGCUGUCGUCAGCUCGUGUCGUGAGAUGUUGGGUUAAGUCCCGCAACGAGCGCAACCCUUGUCUUUAGUUGCAAAUCUAGAGAGACUGCCGGAAACAAACCGGAGGAAGGUGGGGAUGAUGUCAAGUCAGCAUGACUCUUACGUCCAGGGCUACACACACGCUACAAUGGCCGUUACAAUGAGAAGCCAACCCGCGAGGGUGAGCAGAUCUCUAAAAGGCGGCCCCAGUUCAGAUUGCACUCUGAAACCCGAGUGCAUGAAGUCGGAGUUGCUAGUAACCGCGUGACAGCAUAGCGCGGUGAAUAUGUUCCCGGGGCUUGUACACACCGCCCGU